UACGAAGGGAGCGAGCGUUGUUCGGAAUCACUGGGCUUAAAGCGUGCGUAGGUGAUUGGUAAGUAAGGAGUGAAAUCCCAGGGCUUAACCUGGGAAUGGCGUCUGAAACUACGGAGCUGGAGUGUGGCAGAGGGAGGUAGAAUUCCACGUGUAGCGGUGAAAUGCGUAGAUAUGUGGAGGAAUACCGAUGGCGAAGGCAGCCUCCUGGGCCAACACUGACGCUCAUGCACGAAAGCGUGGGGAGCAAACAGG
rnacentral:rRNA from 1 species